rnacentral:rRNA from 1 species
GACGAACGCUGGCGGCGUGCUUAAUACAUGCAAGUCGAGCGAAGCGCUUUAACGGAAUUCUCCGGAAGGAAGGUAAAGUGACUGAGCGGGCGACGGGUGAAGGUACGCGUAGAGUAACCUGCCCUGGAGUGGGGGACAACAGUUGGAAACGACUGCUAAUACCGCAUAAGCCCACGGCCCGGCAUCGGGUUGAGGGAAAAGGAUUUAUUCGCUUCAGGAUGGACUCGCGUCCAAUUAGCUAGUUGGUGAGGUAACGGCCCACCAAGGCGACGAUUGGUAGCCGGACUGAGAGGUUGAACGGCCACAUUGGGACUGAGACACGGCCCAG